rnacentral:rRNA from 1 species
AUACGUAGGUGGCAAGCGUUAUCCGGAAUUAUUGGGCGUAAAGCGCGCGCAGGCGGUCUCUUAAGUCUGAUGUGAAAGCCCACGGCUCAACCGUGGAGGGUCAUUGGAAACUGGGAGACUUGAGUGCAGGAGAGAAAAGUGGAAUUCCACGUGUGGCGGUGAAAUGCGUAGAGAUGUGGAGGAACACCAGUGGCGAAGGCGGCUUUUUGGCCUGUAACUGACGCUGAGGCGCGAAAGCGUGGGGAGCAAACAGGAUUAGAUACCCUGGUAGUCCACGCCGUAAACGAUGAGUGCUAGGUGUUGGGGGGUUCCACCCUCAGUGCUGAAGUUAACACAUUAAGCACUCCGCCUGGGGAGUACGACCGCAAGGUUGAA